ensembl:lncRNA
UGAAGGUUGUAGGAGGUGAUGAAGGAGAGAGUGUUAGAGGUGGUGUUGGUGUGAAGGUUGUAGGAGGUGAUGAAGGAGAGAGUGUUAGCGGUGGUGUUGGUGUGAAGGUUGUAGGAGGUGAUGAAGGAGAGAGUGUUAGCGGUGGUGUUGGUGUGAAGGUUGUAGGAGGUGAUGAAGGUGAGGGUGUUAGAGGUGGUGUUGGUGUGAAGGUUGUAGGAGGUGAUGAAGGUGAGGGUGUUAGCGGUGGUGUUGGUGUGAAGGUUGUAGGAGGUGAUGAAGGUGAGGGUGUUAGAGGUGGUGUUGGUGUGAAGGUUGUAGGAGGUGAUGAAGGUGAGGGUGUUAGAGGUGGUGUUGGUGUGAAGGUUGUAGGAGGUGAUGAAGGUGAGGGUGUUAGAGGUGGUGUUGGUGUGAAGGUUGUAGGAGGUGAUGAAGGUGAGGGUGUUAGCGGUGGUGUUGGUGUGAAGGUUGUCGGAGGUGAUGAAGGUGAGGGUGUUAGAGGUGGUGUUGGUGUGAAGGUUGUAGGAGGUGAUGAAGGUGAGGGUGUUAGAGGUGGUGUUGGUGUGAAGGUUGUAGGAGGUGAUGAAGGUGAGGGUGUUAGAGGUGGUGUUGGUGUGAAGGUUGUAGGAGGUGAUGAAGGUGAG